rnacentral:rRNA from 1 species
AGUCUGCAACUCGACUACAUGAAGCUGGAAUCGCUAGUAAUCGCGAAUCAGAAUGUCGCGGUGAAUACGUUCCCGGGUCUUGUACACACCGCCCGUCACACCAUGGGAGUCAAAGUAACGCCCGAAGUCAGUGACCUAACCGAACAGGAGGGAGCUGCCGAAGGUGGGACCGAUAACUGGGGUGAAGUCGUAACAAGGUAUC